CGCCUCUUGACAAAUUAUAAGAGGUCUAGCCUGCCCAGUGACAAAGUUCAACGGCCGCGGUACCCUAACCGUGCGAAGGUAGCAUAAUCACUUGUUCUUUAAAUAAGGACUAGUAUCAACGGCAUCACGAGGGCUAUACUGUCUCCUUUCUCCAAUCAGUGAAACUGAUCUCCCCGUGAAGAAGCGGGGAUUAUUGUAUAAGACGAGAAGACCCCAUGGAGCUUUAAACUCACUAUACACCUUUGUUUAUCUACAUCAUAAUAUCCUAAAAGAUUUGUAUGCUAGUUUUGGGUUGGGGGGACCGCGGAGUAAAAACUAACCUCCACGACAAAUGGGCUAUGCCCUUAUCUAAGAACUACAGUUCUAAGAAUCAAUAAACUGAUGUUUAAUGACCCGAAUAAUCGAUCAACGAACCAAGUUACCCUGGGGAUAACAGCGCAAUCUACUUCAAGAGCUCCUAUCGACAAGUAGGUUUACGACCUCGAUGUUGGAUCAGGGUAUCCAAGUGGUGCAGCCGCUACUAAAGGUUCGUUUGUUCAACGAUUAAAACCCU
rnacentral:rRNA from 1 species